UGAGUUCGCCGGGCAGUCGCCGUUUAGCACUAGCUAGAGGGAGGAAAGUCCGGGCUCCAUAGGGCAAGGUGCCAGAUAACGUCUGGGCGGCGCGAGCCGACGGCCAGUGCAGCAGAGAGUAUACCGCCUAAGUAUCUUCGGAUACCGGUAAGGGUGAAAGGGUGCGGUAAGAGCGCACCGCGUGGGUGGCAACAUUCCACGGCAUGGUAAACCCCACCAGGAGCAAGACCAAAUAGGGAUCCGUUAGGUGUGGCCCGCAUCGGAUCCGGGUAGGUCGCUUGAGAUGUAUAGCGAUGUACAUACUAGAUGAAUGACUGUCCUCGACAGAACCCGGCUUACAGGCGAACUCAGACU
rnacentral:RNase_P_RNA from 1 species